rnacentral:rRNA from 1 species
CCCUUAGAUGUUCUGGGCGGCCCGCGCACUACAAUGGCGUGUGCAGCGAGUGCCGAAGUAGAGUUUUCCGAGGUAUUCUUGCAAUGCUCGUUUUGAUGGGGAUAGACCCUUGCAACUGUUGGUUUUGAACGAGGAAUUCCUUGUAAGCAUGGUUUAUCAUCCGACGCUGAAUGCGUCCCUGCCCUUUGUACACACCGCCCGUCGCUCCUACCGAUGAGUCGUCCGGUGAAGUUCGUAGACCUCGUGAUCGCGGAUCACUGGGGGAAGCAAAAUGAACCUCGCGGUUUAGAGGAAGGAGGAGUCGUAACA